rnacentral:tRNA from 2 species
GGAAGGGUGGCCGAGCGGUUUAAGGCAACAGUCUUGAAAACUGUCGUAUCGAAAGGUACCGUGGGUUCGAAUCCCACCCCUUCCGCCA